rnacentral:snRNA from 1 species
GGAUGUGAAGGCGAUCUGGCUGCGACAUCUGUCAUCCCACUGAUCACCAGGGUUAAUUCGGCUGAUCUGGCUGGGAAGGCGGGUGUCCCCUUCCUCCCUCACCACUCUGUGUGCAGAAGCUGCACGCUUGGUUAAAGAGGAUGACCUUCCCCUACUAGAGGAGGACCGGUCUUCGGACAAGGGUUUACGAGUAGCUGCGUGCCCCUGUUAGAACCUCCAAACAAGCUCUGAAGAAAAUUGUGAGUUUUAGGCUAGCCUGGGCUACAUAGUGAGUUUGUGUCUUAAAAAUAAAUCAAAUUCAAGCAAAUACCGAAGCAUAUACACAUUAACUU